UCCCUGAUGGUUCAGUGGUUAAGACUCCACGCUCCCAAGGCAGGGGCCCUGGGUUCAAUUCCUGGUCAGGGAA
rnacentral:tRNA from 1 species